CCUACGGGGGGCGGCAGUGAGGAAUAUUGGGCAAUGCCAGCAAGGGUGACCCAGCAACGCCGCGUGGAGGAUGAAGGCCGUAAGGUUGUAAACUCCUGUUAGAGGGGAAGAAUAGUACCGGUUGGACCGGUAUAUGACUGUACCCUCAGAGAAAGCCCCGGCUAACUACGUGCCAGCAGCCCCGGUC
rnacentral:rRNA from 1 species